UCAUCAACUUUAUUACAAGUCUGCUGUCUGCCGUAGUUCAUUAAGUUUAUCUAUAGACCUUGCCGGUCUCGGACACCAGUCGUUGAUCCAACUUACUUAGCCGUGGGCUCAGCUAAUUCUAUUUGUGUGUGCACAUGAUGAUAGUAACUGCUAUCUGAUUUAUAUGGAAAGUGGUAAAUGGUACUACAAGAAUGCGGAAAAUUCUCCCAAAGAAAUCGACGUGCACUUUUCGUCGGCAUUGUGCUACAAAUUCAUCCGAGGAUCAUCAAGACAGCAAUCGGCUUAUAACGCUCAAAUUGAAUGCAAACAACAAGGAGGAAACAUUGCAGUAAGAAGAAAUGACCAGCA